CGUCUCCGCGGCGCCGGGAGGGAGCGGAGCGGCCGCAGCCGCGGCCCCGCUGCGGGCAUGGGGCGGCUCUCGGUGCCGCCGCCGCCGCUGAUGCUGCCGCUUCUGCCGCUUCUGCUGCCGCCCGUGCUGGUGCUGUGGCAGCUCGGCGGAGCCCAGGCUCAGGGCUCGUGUCCCAGGCCGGAGCGGCUGCAGUACGCAGAGCUCGACCAGAGCUCCAGGGAAAUGCAGGAUUUUCCACCUGGGACCAGAGUCUCCUUCACCUGCCGGCCGGGAUACAUGAGGGUGCCAGGGAAGCCACUGAGCUGGACGUGUGGUGAUGACUUGCAGUGGUCACCCAAGGGCGCCUUCUGUACAGCGAGAAAAUGUAUUUACCCAGGAGACUUGGAAAAUGGUUAUUUUGACCCAACAGAUCUUACAUUUGGUUCAAAAUUGACAUUUCAUUGUAAAGAGGGGUACAGAUUGCGGGGUAAGGGGGAGAUUUCCUGUGAUAUCAAGAAUGAAGGUGUUGGCUGGAGUGGAGGUCUGCCUUACUGUGAAAGAAUUCCUUGUGAGCCACCUCCCAAAAUAGCCAACGGGGGCUAUGAGGAGAGAGCCAGCUACGUGUACCAGAGCGCGGUGACCUACAGGUGUCAGGAUGUCCCCAAGGGCAGUGAUCCCUUCUCCCUCGUUGGCUCAGACACGAUUUACUGCACGUCUGAUGAACACUCAAAUGGAGUUUGGAGUGGGCCUCCUCCAGAAUGUCGAGUGGUCAAAUGUGAAGAUCCCAGAGUUGAAAAUGGGAGAAAAAUAUCUGGAUUUGGACUUACCUACAAAUACAAGGACUCGGUUGUGUUUGAGUGCAAUCAAGGUUAUUUCUUGGUUGGAGCAGAUGUAAUUACCUGUAAAGAAAAUAAUGCCUGGGAUCCUCCAAAACCAACCUGUGAGAAAAUCACUGCAGAUGUGUGUCCUGCCCCGAAGAUCCCCAACGGGGUCCUGGUUCCAAGCAAGCCUGCCUAUACAAAAGGAGAGUCUGUGCAGAUCCAGUGCAAAGCUGGCUGCUCCUUCCCUGGUGGCUCUGCAGAGAUGACAGUGACCUGUCAAGAACAGAGUUCCUGGGGUGCUUUACAGCCCUGUACCUGUGAGCCUGAAGGUUCUGGUUCCACUCCAGUCAUAAGUUAUGGGAGAGUGAUAGCUGGACAGAAACCUUCCUACUUGGUGGGGGAUUUCAUUACCAUUGAAUGCUACACGGGGUACACCCUGCACGGGGAGGCUCGGAUUCGGUACAUUGGAAACAACCAGUGGGAGCCUGCAGUGCCAGCCUGCCAGCUCAGUGGAUAUAUUAUAGCCAUCAUCUGUGUGAUUGUGGUAGUUGUGGUGCUCCUGGCAGCCUUCUGGAUCUACAAGAAAUUCUUCUCACAGAAUGGCUCGUACACAGUUGAUGAGAGUUGCAAGGAAAUUUGUAUUUUAAAAACUAAUGUCCCAGCUGAGAUGGAAGAAACUGCACAAAUGAAUUAAUGAAAAGAAGAGAAUAAAUGAAGGGUCUAACAAGAUCUUUUGAAACCUUCUUAUGAAAAGGAAACGUGAGAGCACUCCCAGUUCUGCCGAAUAUAAGAUGUGUAAAGCAUGAUGCCCUUUCUGGGGGGAGGGAGGGAGGGAGGGACUCUGCAGUGGGAUGGCCCUGGCAGAGCUGCACAAGCACUGAGUGCCCUUGCAGUGAGUGGCUGGCCCUGAGUUCCUUGUGCUGUGUCUUGCUCUGCUGAUGAACUGCAGGAGGAGAUGCUUGAUAGGAUAAAAAGUGUGCGUGCCUGUAGCUAACACAGACCCUGCUUUGCCUUCUGGGCCCCUCCUUGUCCUUCUGUGCACCUCAGCUGGGGCAGAGGCAGGACCUGUAGCAUGCCAGAGUCUGUGGGAGUGCUGCAAUGCCCCUGUCCCAGUGCCAGCUGCUGCUGCCUGCUGCCUGCAGUGCCACCUCUUGGCCUACAGAAGAUGUCCAAUAUUCUGCUCCCUCCUGUAGAGCUCUGCUCACUCAAACCUGGCUGUCCUUCCCAUCCCUUUUUGCUGUAAAUGGUUCUGUUGUUUCCUUUGUGCUCUGAAAUGUCUUGUUGCUCAUUCCCUGGAGAGUCUGGUGCCGUUGAAGGCAAUGUCUUUUGGAAACUAUCACAAUUAAGAUCUUAUAUACUCUACCUCUUUGUCUGCCAAAGUUGGUUGCUGUAUAUAUAAUGAAUUAAAAUGUGCCUUGAAAUCAGAGUUUUAUAGCUUUUCCUUUGCUUCUGAGAAGGAAAAAAGCCAUGUAUAUUUCUGAUUCUUUGCUGUAAUUUCCCAAAGACUGCAGUGCAUUUGUUGGACCUGAAAACUGAAGGAUUCUGUAGCAAAGGCAUCCCCUGCCUGUUGACAGGAGAUCCCUGAUUAAAGGAACUGCUGAGAGCUCAGUGGUGGCCGUGUCCUGUCAUGGGCACAGUGGAAGUUCCUUAGGCUGCUGGAUUUUAGGGAGCCUUGAUGUCAGUUCUGGAGAUCUUCUGUUGCUUUCCAGGAUAGAAACAGGUGCUGUGUGAUCCACCUUCCUUGCUUUUUUACUUGAAGUCACAUAUUCCACAUUUCUAACCUCUGGCUGCAGACUGGGAUGUUAAAUCAAGCUCUGAAAAAGCUGGAUUUAGCAUCAGAUUCCUGUUUAGAAGCAGAAGCUUUUCCCUGUCACUCACUUCUCAUGUUAAAGGAGAACCAAAUCAGUUGUGGGAGUGCUGGUAGAUGUGGUGGUCUCUUGUUUGCUGCUUGUUCAGUAAAUGUUUCAGUCCAGAUUCUGACUCCAGGAGCUCCCACCACUGUGUUUGCCACUAGUUUAGAAUCACUGCUACUUCUAAUUCCUCAGCAAACCCCAAAUCUUAACUAGAACAAGUUUUAGCUCUAUGAAUCUCCCUGUCAGCAUGCAGGCAGCUUCUGAUUUCCACAGGAAGCCCAACUAGCCUCACUUCAGUGCCUGAGGCAGCACUGAGAGUGCUCUGGCUUCUCUGUGGCUGCUUGGCACUGCUCUCCCUGUCAUCAACAGAUUGCUGCAGUGGCACAGAACUGGUUGGGGCUUUGUAGGGUUUUUUGGGACAGUCCCAGCAGUCGUAUUGUUGGAGUUCAUAAUAGGCUGUGGUUGUUAGAAAGGGGCUUUGGCUCUGCAGAAGGAUUGGCUGUUGGUGGCCUGGCUGAUAGCUCAGUUGGAGAGUUGUUUGUAAACACUGGGAUGUGUGACUGGGACUGAGUGUGGUGCUGGUCAGGAGCUCAGCUUGCUUUGUGUGGCAUCUGCAAUGUCUGAAAUACACUGCAAUGUUCUGAAUUGGGAAGUGAAAUCACUGUAAAAAGUGGCUGUGUUUUUGCUCUUCCUUCUGGAUGUAAAGAUUAGCGGUGAUUUGUAAUAUUCCAAAUAAAAAUGUUAAAUUAUUUA